rnacentral:tRNA from 2 species
AGUAAGGUGGCUGAAAUUUAGGCGUUAAAUUGUAAUUUUAAUUAUGGAUUUGUUCUUCUUACUA